UCUAGCUCUUGCUCUUGCUCCUUCGCCUGCUUGCUGAGUGAGACUGAGUAACUGCUAGAUCCUUGGACUUCCAUUCACAGCUGCGACUGAAUCAUUGUUGGGAAUUGGGCUGCCGACUGUAAGUCAUCAAUAAAUUCCUUUACUAUCUAGAGACUAUCCAUAACUUCUGUGACUCUAGAGAACCCUGACUAAUACAGAAGUUGGUACCAGGACCUCCUGCGAGCUCAGAGAAUUUUGAAGACCCAUGGUUGAAACUAUAUUCCGAACUUAAAGAAGCUAAUGCCCUUGAUUUUCUUAAUGAAUUAGGUGAUUCAGUGCACAAAGCUUUCUACAAGAUGGGGAAAAAAUCGGAAAAUGAUUUUACUGGCUGGCUGCUCUUAGUAUCUGUGGAAAAAAAUGGUGAAUGAAAGGAAGGAGUUGUGUGAUAAAAUCGAAAGGCUACAGACACAAGUAAACGAUCUAAAAGUUGCUAAGUGUGUCCUUGAAGAGAAUCUUCUCUCUUGUAGCAAUAGAGCUCAAGUUGCAGAAAAUCAAACAGAAACUCUCAUUGUAAGGUUGGCUGAACUACAGCGAAAAUUCAAGUCUCAGCCUUAGAGUGUGUCGACAGUUAAAGUAAGGGCUCUAAUUGGCAAAGAAUGGGAUCCUAUAACAUGGGACGGGGAUGUGUGGGAAGACAAUGUUGAAGCUGAGAAUUUUGAAUCUUCAGAUUCUCAAGGGUUUGCCCCACCUGA
rnacentral:lncRNA from 1 species